UACGGGGGGGGCAAGCGUUGUUCGGAAUUACUGGGCGUAAAGGGCGCGUAGGCGGUCCGCUAAGUUAGAUGUGAAAACUCUGGGCUCAACCCAGAGCCUGCAUCUAAUACUGACGGGCUAGAGUUCUGGAGGGGGUAGCGGAAUUCCUGGUGUAGCGGUGAAAUGCGUAGAUAUCAGGAGGAACACCGGUGGCGAAGGCAGCCCCCUGGGUCAACACUGACGCUCAUGCACGAAAGCGUGGGGAGCAAACAGG
rnacentral:rRNA from 1 species